AUACGGAGGGGGCUAGCGUUGUUCGGAAUUACUGGGCGUAAAGCGCACGUAGGCGGCUUGUCAAGUUGGGGGUGAAAGCCCGGAGCUCAACUCCGGAACUGCCCUCAAAACUGGCUCGCUAGAGUCCGAGAGAGGUGAGUGGAAUUCCCAGUGUAGAGGUGAAAUUCGUAGAUAUUGGGAAGAACACCAGUGGCGAAGGCGGCUCACUGGACCGGUACUGACGCUGAGGUGCGAAAGCGUGGGGAGCAAACAGGAUUAGAAACCCCGGUAGUCC
rnacentral:rRNA from 1 species